rnacentral:sRNA from 1 species
GAGAAUUGGGGAAUAAACUGUAAUAAUAAUUGCAGCACCAAAUGCUUUAAUCUAUCUUGUGACAGUAGAUCUGGACAAUGUGACCAGGGUUGCCUUGGCUACAGUAACCCACCUUUGUGUACAAAGGACUGUUUAGAACAGCACUGGGGCAUCAACUGUAGUCGCAACUGUAGUGAUAAAUGUUUGAAUAACACUUGUACGGCUACAGAAGGUGCAUGCUACGGAGGCUGUAAAUCUGGCUACCAGCUACCCGACUGCACUCAAGUUUGUUCCGAUGGCCACUGGGGAAUCAAUUGUAGUCUGACUUGUAACUCAAAUUGUUAUAAUAAUGAGUGUCAUCCAGUGACAGGAAGCUGCAGCCUCGGCUGUAUUGAGGGAUACCAACUUCCCAACUGCACUCUGGCUUGUGACAAAGUGAAUUACGGAAGAAACUGCUCUCUCAAUUGUUCUGUCCACUGUGUCACUGAGAAGUGCAACGCAACGGAUGGUUCCUGUUCAUGUCUCGCUGGUUACGAGGGAAGCACUUGUCAACA